UACCAGCACCCCGAGUGGUCGGGACGAUUAUUGGGCCUAAAGCAUCCGUAGCCGGUCCUACAAGUCCUCCGUUAAAUCCACCUGCUUAACAGAUGGGCUGCGGAAGAUACUAUAGGGCUAGGAGGCGGGAGAGGCAAGCGGUACUCAGUGGGUAGGGGUAAAAUCCUCUGAUCCAUUGAAGACCACCAGUGGCGAAGGCGGCUUGCCGGAACGCGCUCGACGGUGAGGGAUGAAAGCUGGGGGAGCAAACCGG
rnacentral:rRNA from 1 species